rnacentral:rRNA from 1 species
UACGGGAGGCAGCAGUGGGGAAUAUUGCACAAUGGGCGAAAGCCUGAUGCAGCUAUGCCGCGUGUAUGAAGAAGGCCUUAGGGUUGUAAAGUACUUUCAUCGGGGAGGAAAAAACAAAACUAAUAAUUUUAUUUCUUGACGUUACCCGAAAAAGAAGCACCGGCUAACUCCGUGCCAGCAGCCGCGGUAAUACGGAGGGUGCUAGCGUUAAUCAGAAUUACUGGGCGUAAAGAGCACGUAGGUGGUUUUUUUAAGUCAGAUGUGAAAUCCCUGGGCUUAACCUGGAACUGCAUUUUGAAACUGAAAUACUAGAGUAUCGUAGAGGGAGGUAGAAUUCUAGGUGUAGCGGUGAAAUGCGUAGAUAUCUGGAGGAAGUACCUGUGGCGAAAGCGGCCUCCUAAACGAAUACUGACACUGAGGUGCGAAAGCGUGGGGAGGCAAACAGGGAGUUAGAGUACC